GAUGAACGCUAGCUACAGGCUUAACACAUGCAAGUCGAGGGGCAGCACUAGGUAGCAAUACUGAGGUGGCGACCGGCGCACGGGUGCGUAACGCGUAUCCAACCUUCCCGAUACUCUUGGAUAGCCUUCCGAAAGGGAGAUUAAUACAAGAUGGUGUUUCACUUUCGCAUGUUAUUGAAACUAAAGAUUUAUCGGUAUCGGAUGGGGAUGCGUGACAUUAGAUAGUAGGCGGGGUAACGGCCCACCUAGUCUACGAUGUCUAGGGGUUCUGAGAGGAAGGUCCCCCACACUGGAACUGAGACACGGUCCAGACUCCUACGGAAGGCAGCAGUGAGGAAUAUUGGUCAAUGGUCGGAAGACUGAACCAGCCAAGUAGCGUGAAGGAUGAAGGUUCUAUGGAUUGUAAACUUCUUUUAUACGGGAAUAAAACCUCCACGUGUGGGAGCUUGUAUGUACCGUAUGAAUAAGCAUCGGCUAACUCCGUGCUAGCAGCCGCGGUAAUGUCG
rnacentral:rRNA from 1 species